UGGGGAACGAGGUGGCGGGAGCGAGGGGAAGACGUAGGGGGGGAGCGUUAAGCGGAAUUACGGGGGGUAAAGUGUGCGCAGGCGGCCGAGCAAGGCGAGGGUGAAAGCCCCGGGCUUAACUUGGGAAUUGCGCUCGAAACUACUUGGCUGGAGUGUGGCAGAGGAAGGUGGAAUUCCACGUGUAGCGGUGAAAUGCGUAGAGAUGUGGAGGAACACCAAUGGCGAAGGCAGCCUUCUGGGCCAACACUGACGCUCAUGCACGAAAGCGUGGGGAGCAAACAGGAUUAGAACCCGAGUAUUC
rnacentral:rRNA from 1 species